CUAGAGGCUUCCACAAUGGACGAAAGUCUGAUGGAGCGACGCCGCGUGUGUGACGAAGCCCUUCGGGGUGUAAAGCACUGUCAGGAGGGACGAAUGUCGGGGAGGUUCUCUUCUCCGAAGGGACGGUACCUGC
rnacentral:rRNA from 1 species